rnacentral:misc_RNA from 1 species
AAGUCGUAACAAAGGUUUCCGUAGGUGAACCUGGAAGGAUCAUUAACACGUAUCCAACGUUAAAACAACCCUGUGGGCUCCAUGAAAGCAGCAAUCCUGGUAAAUCAUUGUCGACCAGAUUUUGAGAGGGACCUCUGCCGAUGAGAGUUACGCUACCUGGCACCCCCAAGCAAUCAGAGUUCUGAAAGCGUCUUUAUUGUGUAAGGGUGGCGCAAACACGAUCGUUGGAGGCCGACACGGCCGACGACCGGGUCCCUGUUAACAAUGGAUAUCUUGGUUCUC